rnacentral:piRNA from 1 species
UGGAAGGUGAUUUAACCAUGGAUGGGA